GACGAACGCUGGCGGCGUGCUUAAUACAUGCAAGUCGAACGGAAAGGCCCUGCUUUUGUGGGGUGCUCGAGUGGCGAACGGGUGAGUAUCACGUGAGUAACCUGCCCUUGUCUUUGGGAUAACUUCAGGAAACUGGGGCUAAUACCGGGUAUGAGCUCCUGCUGCAUGGUGGGGGUUGGUAAGUGUCGGCGGUUGGGGAUGGACUCGCGGCUUAUCAGCUUGUUGGUGGGGUAGUGGCUUACCACGGCUUUGACGGGUAGCCGGCCUGAGAGGGUGACCGGCCACAUUGGGACUGAGAUACGGCCCAGACUCCUACGGGAGGCAGCGGUGGGAAAUAUUGCGCAAUGGGCGGAAGCCUGAUGCAGCAACGCCGCGUGCGGGAUGACGGCCUUCGGGUUGUAAACCGCUUUCGCCUGUGACGAAGAGUGAGUGACGGUAAUGGGUAAGGAAGCACCGGCUAACUACGUG
rnacentral:rRNA from 1 species